rnacentral:lncRNA from 1 species
AUAAAGCGGAAUAAAUGCCCAAAACUACAUUUAAUCAUAUCAUUUCAACCUACAGAAAAUCAAAGAGAAAAGUCCUAAAGAAGCUGCAGGAAAAAAACACCUUACCUAUGGAGGAAGAAAGAUAAGAAUAACAUCUAACUUCUUCUCAGAAACCAUGCAAAUAAGAAGAGUGGAGUGAAAUAUUCAACAGUGUUGAGAGAAAAAACCCCACCAAUCUAGAAUUCCAUGAAAUUAUCCUUCGAAAGUGAACGAGAAAUAGAGACUUUCUCAGACAAACAAAAACUGAGGGCAUUUGUUGCCUGUAGACCUACCUUGCAAGAAACGUCAAUUUUUUUAGAGAGAAGAAAAAUAGUAUGUCGGGAACUCAGAUCUACAUAAAGUGAGGAAGAGCACUGAAGAAGGAAUAUGCGAAGGUGGAACAGGAUGUCUAGAGCAGGCUGGAGUUGGAUAAUUCCCUUCUCCCACGUGGAAG